UUGGGGCAUUCACUCACACUCGGUUACGAUUUUCCCUCUUUCAGGCUCACGACUCUCCCCUCUCGCCUUCUCUUCUCCCCUCCUCGGUGUCUCACGCUCACUCGGUCCCGGUGUCGGUGUCUCGCGGCCCAGCCAGUCUCUGUCCAACGGUCCUCUUGCGGUUCGACCUCCGACGGUCCCCUUUGCGGUCACUCAGUCUCACUCUUGUCUCUUGUUGAGCCAAACCCAAUCUAAAACCCUUUUUGUGGUCUUCUUGGUGAAGUUGAUAUCGCAUAGUUUUCUUACAGUCCAGCUCCAACCUCUCUGAAUUCGACUAUGGCAACCUCUGCAAGUGUAUCUCAGAACCUUAGCCACACUUUUUCUCCCAAACUCUCAUUUUCCCUUUCACCUUCGUCAGGUCGUCAGGUCAUUAGAUUACCCACUUCUUCGAUUGUAGCAAAGCCCCUUACCAGCCACACCCAAGGGCCUGUUCCCCACACAGCUUCGUUCCUCUCACGUGUGAGUGCUUCUCCUGCCCCUAGCCCUUCCCCUACUGCCAAUUCCACGACCUUUCAUGGCCUCUGCUAUGUUGUCGGUGACAAUAUUGAUACUGACCAGAUAAUUCCUGCUGAGUAUUUAACCCUAGUCCCUUCUAAACCUGAUGAGUAUGAACAGCUUGGAUCAUAUGCUCUUAUUGGCCUUCCCGCAUCUUACACCACUCGAUUUAUAGAGCCCAACCAGAUGAAAACCAAGUAUUCAAUUGUCAUUGCUGGAUCCAACUUUGGUUGUGGCUCGUCUCGCGAGCAUGCUCCGGUGGCACUGGGUGCUUCUGGUGUAGCUGCUGUGGUGGCUGAGUCUUAUGCACGAAUAUUUUUUAGAAAUUCAGUGGCCACAGGGGAAGUUUACCCAUUGGAGUCGGAGGUGAGAAUAUGUGAGGAGUGUAAAACAGGAGAUGUGGUUACAGUAGAGCUCGGUGAGAGCCGAUUGAUCAAUCAUUCGACUGGAAAGGAGUACAAGUUGAAGCCCAUUGGCGAUGCUGGACCUGUCAUCGAGGCUGGUGGGAUUUUUGCAUAUGCAAGACAGACUGGGAUGAUUCCCUCUCAUUCAGCUUGAAGUGGUGGUAUUGGGUUCUAUUCUUCAAUUAUUCUGCUCUGCUUUAUUUUGAUGCUGAGCUAACAUUAUUGAGCAUCUCACUUUUGUGCUGGGGCUUGGAAAUUGAUUCUCUGAAUGGUUAUGUGCACUGUAAAGUCAUAAAGGUUUUUGUUAUGCGUCUGAAACCAUUGUGUUGCGUUUGGUAUGAGGAAAAGUCCUUUUUAGAAAGGGAAUGGAGAAGAAAAGUUAGACUCGUGUGUUUGGUAUAAAAUGAGAAUGAGUAAUGGAGAAGGGACUUCCUUGAAGACCCUUUCUCAUUCUCAUUCACCCUUUGUUCCGAACACAUAAGCCUAACUUUUCUUUUCCCAUUCCCUUUCUAGAAGGGACUUUUUCAUGUACCAAACUUGGCAAGCAAUACUUCUAACAUGCCGAAGCUCAGCCCUGUGGCCAUCCUUCUCCGCCUGCUUUUGAAGUAGGAUUCUUGAUUUAAGUAUUGUCUUCUUUGAGACUUAUCUUCAUAUUAUGUUGACAAAAUAAAUUCGCUUGACUAUUCUCUCCAGGUGUUUUUAUGGAUUUGCCAAUAGUACGUUACUGUUUUUAGUUUUUUUUUUCACCCCUCUAUUAAUUUUGUAGUUUUAUAUUUUGUAGCCCUUCAUUAGUUCAUCAAACAUGUUUAAAUUUAGGAAUCAAAUAAUCUUAAACAUGUUUCUUUUGAA